rnacentral:rRNA from 1 species
CCUGAUGACCAUAGCGAGUUGGUACCACCCCUUCCCAUCCCGAACAGGACCGUGAAACGACUUUGCGCCGAUGAUAGUGCUGCAACCAGUGUGAAAGUAGGUCAUCGUCAGGCUUUUAUUAAAAAACCCUCUGCAUUCAAC